rnacentral:rRNA from 1 species
AUAGCGUAUAUUAAAGUUGUUGCAGUUAAAAAGCUCGUAGUUGAACUUCAGACCUGGCCGGACGGUCUGCCUAACGGUAUGUACUGUCUGGCUGGGCCUUACCUCUUGGUGAGCCGGCAUGCCCUUCACUGGGUGUGUCGGGGAACCAGGACUUUUACCUUGAGAAAAUUAGAGUGUUCAAAGCAGGCUUAUGCUCGAAUACAUUAGCAUGGAAUAAUAAAAUAGGACGUGCGGUUCUAUUUUGUUGGUUUCUAGAGUCGCCGUAAUGAUUAAUAGGGAUAGUUGGGGGCAUUAGUAUUCCGUUGCUAGAGGUGAAAUUCUUGGAUUUACGGAAGACUAACUUCUG